rnacentral:lncRNA from 1 species
ACGGCUUUUAAAGACACCGGGAGGACACCUCUGGAGCCCGUGGAGUGAUUCCUUGAAUUAGAAUUACCCUGACCAGCUGCAAUGUAAAAUCCCUGGAGGUGUGUGCUGGCUUAUGAGGGGCACGGAGAAAAACAAUCUCAAAGUGAAAGAACCAGUUCUGAUGCCUGCCAAGUCUUUGAGAAUCACUAAGAGAAACACACCUUGUGGUGAAGGUUCUCAGACACAGGAUCACUUCCAGACGAGAAUCCAUAAGCAGCUCGUGGACCUGCCUGGUCCAUCCUGGAUUGUGAGGCUGAUUGCUCUGUUGGAAUUGAGCUGCGAGCCGCGGUUGACAUCACCAUUGCAGAUGCUUAA